UAAGAUGGCAGGUCUGGCAACAGAACUGGAGCCGGACUUAAGGAGAAAGAGGAAGGAACUUCAGCUCUGGCACCUGCAGACCCCCGAAAGUGACCUACGGAAGCUGGCAGCAGGGACUGCAAUUGAGCAUUCUCUCACCUUUCCCUUCUCAGAGCUCCCCAAGCCUAUGCCCAGGUGGGAAGAGGAUUACCUGAGAGCCAGAAGCCCCGGGUCCCAGCACUUCACUAACCUACCUUGCAUCCCUUCUGUAAAUUAUACACCCCAGCUCUCAGUUUCCCCAUCUCCGGGAUAACAGACUGGACUUGUCCAAGAAUAGCAAUCAUUCCCAAUCCAGUGCCGACGCUGGUUGCUAGAACACGUGGCUGAAGGGAUUGUAUGUUGCUCGGGAUUCUGGGGCCACAUCCAGUGGUAGGGGGUGCUGUGGUUCGCUGGCAAUAUCUGCCUUGGACUCAGAAUGGAGCAUGGUAGACCAGGUGCCACGUCACUGACAUGCAGGAGCUAAAGGACCUUUGCACUCCUGCCCAAUGGAACAUUCCAGCACUUGGAUUCUGUGGGAUGAGAUCUGACAGCCAUAAGGCAGAAGUUACCAACUGGGAAGCUCAUGGAUUCUUCAACAGAAACUCGAGUCAGGCUGAUGAAUUACCUUUACUAAAGGAAUGAAUAACAAUAAAAAAAAUUCUAGGUCCAAGACGUGCCAAGAAAGGUUAGAUAUAUUGGACAAUAUUUUAAAAGGAGAGAUGUUUUGGGUGACCUGCUAUUUUGCUGUCCAGCUUGAGAUGAUGCCAAUGGCCACAGAGUAAUAAAAGGGCCACUGAAUAUGGCCUCGUUCCCAUGGCUCACCAGCAGUAAGCAUCUCUACCACCUCCAUGUCUGGAGCAGGAAUUCCAGCAGGAAGGACGCAGCCUCCAGAACCAUUUGACCAGAAGAUCCAAGUGCGACUGGACUGCUGACAAAAUGUUUCCAGCCUGGAUCCUAUCAGGGGAAUUACAGCGGGUGCUCAUCAAGUGGGAGUUCUCAAAAUUCUCUGACUGGCCGACUGCAGGUCAUAAAACUCCACUUCAGAGGAGUCCUGCCCCAUACCCUGGAGGAAGGAAUGCUGCACAGAGAGACCAAGAAGAAUCUCAACAGACGGGCAUUUCUGGGCUUCUCCACUCAGUCUAUCAACACUAGAUCAUUCCCUUUUUGUUCAAUCACACUUUUUUUUUUUUGAGAUAGAGUCUUGCCCAGGCUGGAGUGCAAUGGCGUGAUCUCAGCUCACUGCAACCUCCACCUCCCAGAUUCAAGUGAUUCCCCUGCCUCAGCCUCCCGAGUAACUGGGAUUUCAGGUGUGCACUACCACGCCUGGCUAAUUUUUGUAUUAUUGAGAGGUGACAGCGUGCUGGUCAGGGUUUGCACCCUUAAAUGUCUGUCUUUGUCUUCAGGGAGCCAGGGGAAGAUUUCCACGCCACAGGCUGGAGCUGGUGUCUAUUAAUGAUUCAAACUUUUUUUUUAAAGACUCAUCAAGUGCAGCGGUGAGAGGGAGGGAGUUAAACUCUUUUGGAGGCAGGGCUCAUGCCUGUAAUCCCAGCACUGUUGGAGGUCAAGGCAGGCGAAUCACUUGAGGCCAGGAGUUCGAGACCAGCCUGACCAACACAUUGAAACCCAGUCCCUACUAAAUAUACAAAAAAUCAGCUGGGCAUGGUAGUGCACACCUGUAAUCCAGCUACUUGGGAGGCUGAGGCAUGAGAGUCACUUGAACCCAGAAGGCGGAGGUUGCAGUAAGCCGAGAUCCCACCAUGGCCCUCUAGACCGGGAGACAGAGUGAGACCCUGUCUCAAAAAAUAAUAAUAAUAAAAUAAAUAAAUAAAUAAAUAAAACUCUUUUUGAGGUUCUAUAUUUGUAACCUGUGCCCACAGCAUGAGGAUGAAUUCUGAUCUUCAAGGCAAAACCCUGGCC
rnacentral:lncRNA from 10 species